rnacentral:tRNA from 1 species
UAAGCAGAAGCCAAUACCCGGGCGCCUAGCUGUUAAUUAGGAAGUUGUAUGAAUUUACCUGCUUAG